rnacentral:rRNA from 1 species
GCAUAAUAACUUGCCCAUUAAUUGUGGGCUAGAAUGAACGGGGUAACGAAAUAAGCUCUGUCUCAACAAAAUAAAUAAAAACUAGUCUCAAAGUGAAGAAACUUUGAUUUUGCUAAAGGACAAAAAGACCCUAUAGAGCUUUAUUAAUUAACUUUUAUACAAUAGUUAUUUAAUUCGGUUGGGGCGACCUAGGAAUAAUCAUCCUACGUUUUAAAGAUAUAUUAAUCACAUGAAUGAUCCUAUAAUAGAUCAAAAGAACAAGCUACCUUAGGGAUAACAGGCUAAUCCUAUUAAAGAGUUCAUAUCGACAAUAGGGA